rnacentral:rRNA from 1 species
GACGUAGGGGGCAAGCGUUAUUCGGAAUUAUUGGGCGUAAAGAGCUCGUAGGCGGUCUGUCGCGUCUGUUGUGAAAACUCGAGGCUCAACCUCGGGCUUGCAGUGGAUACGGGCAGACUAGAGUGCGGUAGGGGAGACUGGAAUUCCUGGUGUAGCGGUGAAAUGCGCAGAUAUCAGGAGGAACACCGGUGGCGAAGGCGGGUCUCUGGGCAGUAACUGACGCUGAGGAGCGAAAGCGUGGGGAGCGAACAGG